GCUGGGCCUGGUGGCUCGUGCCUGUAGUCCCAGCUACUCAGGAGACUGAGGUGGGAGGAUUGCUUGGGCUCAGGAGUUCUGGGCUGUUACAGUGUGCUAUGCUGAUCAGGUGUCUGCACUAAGUUCGGCAUCAAUAUGGUGACCUGGGAGCGGGGGACCACCAGGUUACCUAAGGAGGGGGGAACCAGCCCAGGUCGGAAAUGGAGCAGGUGAAAACUCCCUUGCUGAUCAGUAGUGGCAUCAUGCCUGUGAAUAGCCACUGCAUUCCAGCCUGGGCAACAUAACAAGACCCUGUCUCU
rnacentral:SRP_RNA from 1 species